AACGAACGCUGGCGGCGUGCCUAACACAUGCAAGUCGCACGAGAAAGUCCUUCGGGAUGAGUAGAGUGGCGCACGGGUGAGUAAUGCAUGGGAACGUGCCUCUAAGAGGGGGAGUAACUACGGGAAACUGUAGCUAAUACCGCAUAAUAUCGAGAGAUUAAAGGUGGCCUCUGCUUGCAAGCUACUACUUAGAGAUCGGCCCAUGUCCCAUUAGCUAGUUGGCGGGGUAACAGCCCACCAAGGCUACGAUGGUAGCUGGUCUGAGAGGAUGAUCAGCCACACUGGAACUGAGACACGGUCCAGACUCCUACGGGAGGCAGCAGUGGGGAAUUUUGCACAAUGGAGGAAACUCUGAUGCAGCAACGCCGCGUGAGUGAUGAAGGCCUUUGGGUUGUAAAGCUCUUUCGGUUGGGGAGAAGGGUUUAUUGGCUAAUAUCCAAUUAAUUUGACGGUACCAAAAGAAGAAGCACCUGCUAACUUCGUGCCAGCAG
rnacentral:rRNA from 1 species